GGAGUUUAUAUGAAGGACAUAUAGGCAUUGAAAGUUAAGAUGUUGAUUUGGGAGCUAUUGUUGCUCUUUUUGACAUAACGCACGCGUAUGGAAGGCAAUUGAGGAUCGGCAACUACGACUAAAGAGAACACUUUUGCGGCUACAUUUUUUGCAUAUUACUUGCUGGAUUUUAAGUUGAAAUGAAGAAGAUGUUGGAUUUUGAAGUCAGUGCAUGUAAUCUUAGGGUAGUAAGUGACUUGAUUUACUAGUAGUUGUGUCUUGAGCUAUAUCUUGAGCAAUUCAAUAAGAUUUUGGCUCAAAAUUUCAGAAAAUAUGUGUAUUCAUGUUAAUAAACUUUUUACAUAAAUUUGAUGGCAUUUAAAUAUUGGAUUCUUGAAAUAUUAAGAAAAUAAUACUUGGAUGUUUGUAAAUUAGGGUUUAAAGCAUCUGCUAUGAUUUCUUAGAUGUCAGAAGAUUGAAAGUAAAUUUGUA
rnacentral:lncRNA from 1 species